CUGAAUAACUUUGCUAAACGCACAGUCCUUGCACUGGCGAUGUAUCUUUCAAAUGUCUGCCUUAUCAACUGUUGAUGGUAGAUUAUGCGCCUACCAUGGUUGUAACGGGUAACGGAGAAUCAGGGUUUGAUUCCGGAGAGGGAGCCUGAGAAACAGCUACCACAUCCAAGGAAGGCAGCAGGCACGCAAAUUACCCACUCCCAGUUCGGGGAGGUAGUGACGAAAAAUAACGAGACGAUGCUCUACGAGUAUCGUCAUCGGAAUGAGUACAAUCUAAAUACUUUAACGAGUAUCUAUUGGAGGGCAAGUCUGGUGCCAGCAGCCGCGGUAAUUCCAGCUCCAAUAGCGUAUAUUAAAGUUGCUGCGGUUGAAAAG
rnacentral:rRNA from 1 species